AGAUGUGAGGGUGAUCUGGAUGUGGCAUCUCUCACCCCAUUGAUCAGCAGGGUCAAUUUGGCUGGCUAAGUGGGUGUCCCCUCCCUCCUUCACCACUGCAUGUGUUGCUUACAAAGCUGUGCAGUCAGUCAGAGGACGACCACCCCGUAUGGAGGAGGACCAUUUCUUUGGUCAAGGGUAUAUGUGUACUGGCACUCCACUGCUAGAACCUCCUUCAGGCUCUCAAGAAGUUUUGUCUAUCACCACUGGCCUAACAUUUUAUUAUUAUGGAUAUUUUUAAGUCAGUUUUGCUCUU
rfam:Fukomys damarensis contig121470, whole genome shotgun sequence.